rnacentral:rRNA from 1 species
GACGAACCGUACAAACGUUAUUCGGAAUCACUGGGCUUAAAGAGUGCGUAGGCGGCGCGGAAAGUUGGGUGUGAAAUCCCUCGGCUCAACCGAGGAACUGCGCCCAAUACUACCGUGCUCGAGGGAGAUAGAGGUGAGCGGAACUUAGGGUGGAGCGGUGAAAUGCGUUGAUAUCCUAAGGAACACCGGUGGCGAAAGCGGCUCACUGGAUCUCUUCUGACGCUGAGGCACGAAAGCUAGGGUAGCGAACGGG